CGGGGACCUGGUCCGGGGAGAUGAAGUGGAUGUGCGAGUCCACCCCGCCGGCGGUCAGGAUUUUCCGCUCGCCCGCAAUGAUCUCGGUGCUCGCGCCGAUCAUGAUGUCCACGCCGUCGGUGAUCUGCGGGUUGCCGGCCUUGCCGAUCCGGAAGAUGUGGCCGUCCCGGAUCGCGACGUCGGCCUUGUAGAUGCCGGUGUAGUCCAGCACCACGACGUUGGUGAUCACGGUGUCCGGGACCCCGCCGCCGGAACCAACACCGCCGGAACCAAUGCCGCCGGAACCGUCACCGUCCCGGGUCACCUGGCCGUUCUGGCCCAUGCCGUCUCGG
rnacentral:sRNA from 1 species